rnacentral:rRNA from 1 species
UCCGGUUGAUCCUGCCGGAGGCUACUGCUAUCGGGGUCCGACUAAGCCAUGCGAGUUGAGAGGGGUAAGCCCUCGGCAUAUUGCUCAGUAACACGCGGAUAACCUGCCCUUGGGUUUGGGAUAACCCCGGGAAACUGGGACUAAUACCGGAUAGAUCAAAGAUACUGGAAUGUUCUUUGUUCGAAAGCUCCGGCGCCCAAGGAUGGGUCUGCGGCCUAUCAGGUAGUAGUGGGUGUAACGUACCUACUAGCCUACGACGGGUAAGGGUUGUGAGAGCAAGAGCCCUGAGAUGGAUUCUGAGACAUGAAUCCAGGCCCUACGGGGUGCAGCAGGCGCGAAAACUUUACACUGCGGGAAACCGCGAUAAGGGGACCCCGAGUGCCAGCACCUAGUGCUGGCUGUCCAGCUGUUCAAAAAACAGUUGUUAGCAAGGGCCGGGCAAGACCGGUGCCAGCCGCCGCGGUAACACCGGCGGCCCGAGUGGUAGCCGUUAUUAUUGGGUUUAAAGGGUCCGUGGCCGGCCUAUUAAGUCUCUUGGGAAAUCUGGCGACUCAAUCGUCAGGCGUUCAAGAGAUACUGGCAGGCUUGGGACCGGGAGAGGUGGGAGGUACUCCAGGGGUAGGGGUGAAAUCUCGUAAUCCUUGGGGGACCACCGAUGGCGAAGGCAUCCCACCAGAACGGGUCCGACGGUGAGGGACGAAAGCUGGGGGCACGAACCGGAUUAGAUACCCGGGUAGUCCCAGCUGUAAACGAUGCUCGCUAGGUGUCAGGUGCGGUGCGACCGCAUUUGGUGCCGUAGUGAAAACUUGAAGCGAGUCACCUGGGAAGUACGGUCGCAAGGCUGAAACUUAAAGGAAUUGGCGGGGAGCACUACUACGGGUGGAGCCUGCGGUUCAA